UUUAAGACUAUAUAUGAUACUCUUUUACCGUUUUUCUCAUAUCUUGCUUACUUCUACAAAUAUUUUGAUCGAAAGAAAUGAAAUGAGGGGGGGGGGGCAAGGGUAUUUUCGUGACUCGUGAUUAGCAAUUAUUCGUGCUUCGUGAUUCGUGAUUUAAAGAAAUACCAUUCCGUGAAUCGUGAUUAAUAUGCGUGCCGUGAAUCGUGAAGAGCUAAAAGGCUAGCUA